AGCUAUGGCCAUGCCACCCUGAACAUGCCUGAUCCCAUCUGAUCUUGGAAGCUAAGCAGGUUUGGGCCUGGUUAGUACUUGAGUGGGAGACCACGUAGGUGCUGUAGGCGUAAAAUAUA
rnacentral:rRNA from 1 species